rnacentral:misc_RNA from 1 species
ACCAAGAUGAAGGCCGUGCAGCGCUUUCUCGACGAUGGCGACCGCGUCAAGGUGACGAUGCGUUUCCGCGGCCGCGAAAUGGCGCACCAGGAACUGGGCAUGCAGCUGCUGAUCAAGGUCAAGGACCAGACCGAGGCCAUCGCCAAGGUCGAGAGCCAGCCCCGGUCGGAAGGCCGCCAGAUGGUUAUGGUCCUGGCGCCGAAGUGAAUUCGGUUUGCUGAGCAAGAAUAUGGAAAAGGGCAGGUCCGGUGGACCUGCCCUUUUUGUUUGGGGUUGGGCCUUAGCGACUGCUAUCGACCCCAUUGCGGUCGUUCCGACGCGGCCGA